CCAUCCUAAGGUAGCGAAAUUCCUUGUCGGGUAAGUUCCGACCUGCACGAAUGGCGUAACGACUUCUCCGCUGUCUCGACCGUGAUCUCGGUGAAAUUGCAGUACGAGUAAAGAUGCUCGUUUCGCGCAGCAGGACGGAAAGACCCCGGGACCUUUACUAUAGCUUGGUAUUGGUGGCUGGUUGUGUUUGUGUAGGAUAGGUGGGAGACGUUGAAGCAGGAACGCUAGUUUUUGUGGAGUCGGCAAGUGAAAUACCACUCUGAUGUUGCUGGUUAUCUGAACCUGGGCCCAUUAUCUGGGUUAGGGACAGUGCCUGGUGGGUAGUUUAACUGGGGCGGUUGCCUCCUAAAUGGUAACGGAGGCGCUCAAAGGUUUCCUCAUCCUGGUUGGUAAUCAGGGUUCGAGUGUAAGUGCACAAGGAAGCUUGACUGUGACACUGACGGGUGGAGCAGGUACGAAAGUAGGAACUAGUGAUCCGGCAAUGGCUUAUGGAAGCGUUGUCGCUCAACGGAUAAAAGGUACCCCGGGGAUAACAGGCUGAUCUUGCCCAAGAGUCCAUAUCGACGGCAUGGUUUGGCACCUCGAUGUCGGCUCGUCGCAUCCUGGGGCUGGAGUUGGUCCCAAGGGUUGGGCUGUUCGCCCAUUAAAGCGGUACGCGAGCUGGGUUUAGAACGUCGUGAGACAGUUCGGUCCCUAUCCGCUGCGCGCGUUGGAAACUUGAUGAAGGCCCGUCCCUAGUACGAGAGGACCGGGAUGGACGAACCUCUGGUGUGCCAGUUGUACUGCCAGGUGCAUUGCUGGUUGGCUACGUUCGGUUGGGAUAACCGCUGAAAGCAUCUAAGCGGGAAGCUUUCUUCGAGAUGAGGUUUCCGUGCCCCCGUUGUGGGGGUGGGAGGUCCCCAGUAGAUGACUGGGUUGAUAGGCCAGAGGUGGAAGCAUUGUGAGGUGUUGUGAGCCGACUGGUACUAAUGGGCCGAUUCUAAACCAA
rnacentral:rRNA from 1 species